CUUGCUCCCGGAUGUUAGCGGCGGACGGGUGAGUAACACGUGGGUAACCUGCCUGUAAGACUGGGAUAACUCCGGGAAACCGGAGCUAAUACCGGAUAGUUCCUUGAACCGCAUGGUUCAAGGAUGAAAGACGGUUUCGGCUGUCACUUACAGAUGGACCCGCGGCGCAUUAGCUAGUUGGUGGGGUAAUGGCUCACCAAGGCGACGAUGCGUAGCCGACCUGAGAGGGUGAUCGGCCACACUGGGACUGAGACACGGCCCAGACUCCUACGGGAGGCAGCAGUAGGGAAUCUUCCGCAAUGGACGAAAGUCUGACGGAGCAACGCCGCGUGAGUGAUGAAGGUUUUCGGAUCGUAAAGCUCUGUUGUUAGGGAAGAACAAGUGCGAGAGUAACUGCUCGCACCUUGACGGUACCUAACCAGAAAGCCACGGCUAACUACGUGCCAGCAGCCGCGGUAAUACGUAGGUGGCAAGCGUUGUCCGGAAUUAUUGGGCGUAAAGGGCUCGCAGGCGGUUUCUUAAGUCUGAUGUGAAAGCCCCCGGCUCAACCGGGGAGGGUCAUUGGAAACUGGGAAACUUGAGUGCAGAAGAGGAGAGUGGAAUUCCACGUGUAGCGGUGAAAUGCGUAGAGAUGUGGAGGAACACCAGUGGCGAAGGCGACUCUCUGGUCUGUAACUGACGCUGAGGAGCGAAAGCGUGGGGAGCGAACAGGAUUAGAUACCCUGGUAGUCCACGCCGUAAACGAUGAGUGCUAAGUGUUAAGGGGGUUUCCGCCCCUUAGUGCUGCAGCUAACGCAUUAAGCACUCCGCCUGGGGAGUACGGUCGCAAGACUGAAACUCAAAGGAAUUGACGGGGGCCCGCACAAGCGGUGGAGCAUGUGGUUUAAUUCGAAGCAACGCGAAGAACCUUACCAGGUCUUGACAUCCUCUGACAACCCUAGAGAUAGGGCUUUCCCUUCGGGGACAGAGUGACAGGUGGGUGCAUGGUUGUCGUCAGCUCGUGUCGUGAGAUGUUGGGGUUAAGUCCCGCAACGAGCGCAACCCUUGAUCUUAGUUGCCAGCAUUUAGUUGGGCACUCUAAGGUGACUGCCGGUGACAAACCGGAGGAAGGUGGGGAUGACGUCAAAUCAUCAUGCCCCUUAUGACCUGGGCUACACACGUGCUACAAUGGACAGAACAAAGGGCUGCGAGACCGCAAGGUUUAGCCAAUCCCAUAAAUCUGUUCUCAGUUCGGAUCGCAGUCUG
rnacentral:rRNA from 1 species